GCGAACGCUGGCGGCAGGCCUAAUACAUGCAAGUCGAGCGGUCCCUUCGGGGGCAGCGGCGGACGGGUGAGUAACGCGUGGGAACGUGCCCUUUGGUACGGAACAACUGAGGGAAACUUCAGCUAAUACCGUAUGUGCCCUUCGGGGGAAAGAUUUAUCGCCAUUGGAGCGGCCCGCGUUAGAUUAGCUAGUUGGUAGGGUAAUGGCCUACCAAGGCGACGAUCUAUAGCUGGUCUGAGAGGAUGAUCAGCCACACUGGGACUGAGACACGGCCCAGACUCCUACGGGAGGCAGCAGUAGGGAAUCUCGCGCAAUGGGCGAAAGCCUGACGCAGCCAUGCCGCGUGAAUGAUGAAGGUCUUAGGAUUGUAAAAUUCUUUCACCGGGGACGAUAAUGACGGUACCCGGAGAAGAAGCCCCGGCUAACUUCGUGCCAGCCGCCGCGGUAACAC
rnacentral:rRNA from 1 species